rnacentral:rRNA from 1 species
GACGAACCGAGCGAACGUUGUUCGGAAUCACUGGGCUUAAAGGGCGCGUAGGCGGGCGGCUAAGUCCGCGGUGAAAUCCUCCAGCUCAACUGGAGAACGGCCGCGGAUACUGGUCGUCUCGAGGAACGUAGGGGUAUGCGGAACUAUCGGUGGAGCGGUGAAAUGCGUUGAUAUCGAUAGGAACUCCGGUGGCGAAGGCGGCAUACUGGACGUUUUCUGACGCUGAGGCGCGGAAAGCGUGGG